GGAAACUUAUAAAUUAUCAUUGGAUCGAAAGAUAGAUGUCUGAGAUUCAUCCACGUCAUCAUGAGUAAAUAUUUUACUCGCAGUAAAACUUUACUCAUGAGUAAAUACACGAGUAAAAUUUUUACUUAUAAUGACGUAGACGAAUCUUAGACGUCUAUUUUUAGAUUCAUGGUAGUUUAUAGAUUUCC
rnacentral:pre_miRNA from 1 species